CCUCUCUAUACGGUGCGUUUCGCAUUUUUGUGUUCUUCUCCCAAAGGACCAAAGUGCUCUUUCCCACCCAGUUUGCCUCCUCCCAUUUGACUUCUCCUUCGACUUCCCAUUACAAUACGAAACCCUAACUGAGGAUUUCUUUGAAGAGGAGGUGUGUUUCUGCAAGAGGUUGAGGUAGCACUGGGAUUUUCUGCAAGGCUUCGGUUCAAUUUCGUUCUUGGCAUCGGUUCAAUUUCAUUCUUGGUAACCAAAGCUUUUUCAAAACUAACAGAGACGAAAGUGUAAAAGAAACAAAACCAAGAGAGAAAUUAUUAUGAUCAUGUCGUAAUGCGGCGUCGUUUGUUGGAGAAUACCUUUGCCUGCAAUGCAAUGUUUCAACUUAUGGCACGAUGGAGCAGUGGAGCUAAGGGCGUCCUAAUACGAAGUCAUUUUAUUGGCUGUGAUGCUCUUUUCAUUUGGAGUUGUAUGUGAUGUUUAGUUUAAUUUCAUAGAGGUCAGUUUAACAAUCCUAGAAGUUGUUAGUUUGUUGUAGAGAGUGAAUAUAGUCGAAAGGAAGGAAGUGGAGAUGGGAGAAUCUGGAAUCUGAAAAAUUGUUUACGCUACACUUUUGUAUGGAGGUUUGGAAUCCCUCAAGGUAUUCCAUUAUCGAUACACUUGUGACUCUUUGAAGCCUUUUAUCAAACACCUUCCCUAUUUGCUCUAUUUUCAUUCUAAUUCCUGAAGUAUUUUAUUACAUCUCGUUGGGUUCCUUAAUACACUACAGUAACUCAUUCAACAUUUUCUUGAAAAUGUUGUUCGUAGUCAAGUUUGUGCACCCUUGCGCACGACAAAUGACAUGGAAUUGAUUAAUGAAACGGUGCGGAUCCCAUUUGGUGGGGGACAAAAUUGGAAAUGAAAUGGAAAAUGUUAAUGAAACAGUGCGGAUUAGAGGGUGGGAGACGAAAUUGAGAGAGACGUCAGUACUGGGUUAUUCCCUUCUCCUUCUUCCCCAUUCCCCCAGAACCUCCUCCUCCGUCAAAGACGCGAAGUUCCCCCUGUAGCUUCUGCAAGCUAGAGACUCAACCUAAUGUGAUUUUCUACAGCCUCACUCUGCAAGUCAGUUCAAUUAACAUUGGAAGAAUAGGUGGUUUGUCGUCUUUCCCAAAAGAGUAUGGUGAAAAAACCGCAGCAUAUCACGCCAAUAUCCUCGCAGCUGCCAUCUGAUCUUGAGUCUCCAUGUGAAACAAAGUCAAAUGUAAAUGAAUUUGAAGACAUUGAGUUACCAAACCUAAACAUCAAUAUUGCAAAUUCAUCAAGCAGAUGAUUUGAGUUCUAACUUGCAGGCCUCUUCCUCUAAAGUCUUGGAAUCUAUACUUGUCAUAAGGGGCCAAGUAAAUGCUACUGAUAUUGUAUCUUAAUUUGUUCAGUUGGUUAAUUUAGUUAAAUUUUAAAAUUGGGAAAUUAACUUAAUUCCCGUCUAUUUAUGUUAUUAAUUAAUGGUCAAGCUUAAUGUCAGAUUAUUGGGGAAAUAUUGUAACUCUCGAGUUCUGAUGAUCUUGUAGUAAUGUUCGACUGAUUAGAACCCUCCAGCAUGGAUGUCCAUGCAUAUAUAUUACUCUACAUGAAUAUUGUACAUGGAUGUAUAAUCUCUACACAUUAAUCCUUAAUGUUGGGUUUCUCA